rnacentral:rRNA from 1 species
UACAGGGGGUGCAAACGUUGCUCGGAAUCAUUGGGCGUAAAGCGCACGUAGGCGGUUCGUUAUGUCGGAUGUGAAAGCCCUUGGCUUAACCGAGGAAGUGCAUCCGAAACUGGCGAGCUAGAGUACUAAAGAGGAUCGCGGAAUUCCCGGUGUAGAGGUGAAAUUCGUAGAUAUCAGGAGGAACACCGGUGGCGAAGGCGGGUCUCUGGGCCGAUAUUGACGCUGAGGAGCGAAAGCGUGGGGAGCGAACAGG